GGGCGAAUGGUCUAGAGGUAUGAUAUUCGCUUUGCAUAAGUAAGCUGACUGUGAACUCAUUUUACACGAUGGUUGCCUUUGGCUGUAAUAGUGUAUUGCGAAGGGUCCGGGGUUCAAUUCCCUGUUCGUCCA